CGAAAGCCUGACGGAGCAACGCCGCGUGAGGGAGGAAGGCUUUUGGGUUGUAAACCUCUUUUGUCAGGGAAGAAGUUCUGACGGUACCUGACGAAUCAGCAUCGGCUAACUCCGUGCCAGCAGCCGCGGUAAUACGGAGGAUGCAAGCGUUAUCCGGAUUUAUUGGGCGUAAAGCGUCCGCAGGUGGUUGAGUAAGUCUGUUGUUAAAGCGUGGGGCUUAACCCCAUAAGGGCGAUGGAAACUGCAAGGCUAGAGUGUGGUAGGGGCAGAGGGAAUUCCCGGUGUAGCGGUGAAAUGCGUAGAUAUCGGGAAGAACACCAGUGGCGAAGGCGCUCUGCUGGGCCAUAACUGACGCUCAUGGACGAAAGCCAGGGGAGCG
rnacentral:rRNA from 1 species